GUGAUGUCGCCCACAGCAUGUUCUGGAAUCGGAGCCACGCACUCACUAUCCUCCCUCUCUCUCCCAGUCGCUUCUAGCAUCACCUCCUCUGCCUUCCGCCGACGGAGCUUGGGCCUCCGCUCCUGCCUCCAGCAGCUAGCAAGAGGGCCGCUGCCUCCCCGCAGCUGGCGCGAGGACCGUCUCCACUCCAGCCUCCCCCCUUCCCCGCCGCCCCCGCGAGCUUUUGGCUCGUGUGAUGCCUCCCGCCGCUUGCGCCGUUUCAGCACGCCGACGGAGGCGGAGGCGCGGACCUUCUGUCCACCGGAUCAGCGUCCAUGGCGAUAGUGCACGCGCUGGAGGGAUCCACAGCGCUUCAUCCUUCUCCCGUGGGACGAGCUGGUGUAUCGACGCAAGCGCCAAGAGACGCCGGCGAGGAAGCUCUGGUCCGGCGGUUUGGCCGUGUCGCGAGCCUCCCAGAGUGGAUGGUCGACGCGCCUUCCCACCUCACCGCAAUCUCUACCGGAGAAUCCUGCCCGACAGAUCGCCCCCAUCCUAGGUUCGUCAGUUCCCUCUCAUCUCCACACUACUUGAAUAAAUCCCCAGUAUUAGGUGAUAACACCAUCGUUCAGUCUGUGCAGUUCAUAUGCCUUCUCCCAAUUGUAAAUAGGUUGGUGUCGUGCACUGUAAGCUUUCACAUGGAUGAUUUCCCAUCUCAAUGAAAUAGUAUUGGCUAAUAUGUAAUUGGUACUACUGAUUGUGCUCGUUCUGUAGUAUUUUGUGGUCAUUCCAGGUCCACACAAGAACCACUAAACUGAUCUUUGGUAAUUGCUAUUUUUUACAGGGAUCAUUCUUCCAUCGUGCUCUUUUUUAAUACCCCACUUAGGUGUAUGGUAUUGCUGAAUUCAUGAAAUCUAGUGGAAGUCAUGGAAUGCAUUUCCAGUAUGAUACCAAUUUUGGGCAUGGCAUUUGCUUUUGAUGACCUGCAAUGUGUUGUUUCAGAUGUUGGAUUUUUAGGUUCGUCGGCUGUGUUGGAACGAAGGCUUCUCUUGCGGUGUUUGAUCAUCGACGAAUUGGCUCGAGAUUUAUUUAUGCACUCAAGAGUUCAGGGAUGUUCGUGGUUCGGACUUUGGAAUAAUGUGUGGACUCGGUGCAGUUGAUGCUGCUGCUUUCCGUUACCAUGUCCCUAUGCACCAGCCGGGAGAAAGAAAUAAGUAAAUCAGCCAAAACACUUGUCAAGCAGAAAUUUAUUGGUUGCAUGUUGUGCUCUUGUCAAGCAGAAACCUUUUAGUCAGUGAAUUAAAAAACAGAAAAUUCACACAAAAUCAAGUUUUUUUUGCAAAGAUAUAUAUCUCACCUGUGAAAGAGAUAAGAAAUUACAGCUUCGGCUGAUGCUUUUACCCGCCUUUGGUACAAAUUCGUGAAAUACCAUCCAUUUUCAUCACAAUAGAAAAUCAAUCGGAAUAUGCUCAAUUAGAUACCCAUAAUCGAGAUAUGAUUUAGCAAAUCCAUAUACAAUAAUAAUAAUUUUACUGAACAUGGAAGCCGAGAUUUCAUCCCUUUUAUCGCAAUAGGCAGUUCUUCACAGUCAGUCACCAAGGUGUUGUAAUUAAGUCCAAGUGUAGUAUCAGUUCUUAUUCAGUUCUGAACUACGUCCAAGUGCUAAGUUCUUAUACUUUGCAUAUAGUUGCCUACUUUUGAAGCAAAUCAGAGCAAAUUUACUUCAGUGCUAUGCUUCCUUUUGAUAGUCAUAAAGAUUAUAAAUGAAAAUUUGCAAUUAUUUGCUAAUUGAAUGAUCAACGGUGUGUUGAAGAUGUUUUUUUCAGCUGGGAUGUCAAGAUGUUAGACUGAACUAUCUCAAAUUGGCAAAAUGAGCAUAACAUAAUAUUUAUCCACUUCUUUGCUAAGGUAUGAGAGGCUAGGCAUUUUUCAUGGGCUCAGCUCUGUGUAUGGCUCUGGAAUGAAAUAGAGUGCUGCUCGUUUCUCUCUCUUAUUUACAUGGGAUGUGGCAGUGUUGACAUGCCAGUCCAUAGUUGUGAAGGGGCAUGCUCUGGAUCUAGAAGUUUACAUCAAUUUUACAAAGGAUAGCAAAUAAUUCAUUUUUUUUUCUUCCUAAGAUAACUUGUCAUCUCUUAUUAAGUGAAAAUGCAAGGAAUGCUUGUAAUUAUCGAAAUGGAAACACGCCAUGGGCGUAUGAAAUCUUUCUACCAUACACACAUUCAUCUACUUAGUUUUUGUUGAUCCAAAGCAGCGCAUAUUGAAUGAUUAAAAUCACAUCCACAAUCCUGCUAUCAUAGUUUAUAUUAGUUUAUAUUUUUGUACAAAAUGUAGUGAAGUUCUGAUGUAGAGGUGGUUACAUUGAUUAUUCCCAAGCACAAGUGAAUUGCUGAUUUUUGUGCUGACAACAGAUUUGCACAUGGGCUUUACCAACGUACUGACCAACCAUUUUCCUCUCCGCCAUUACUAUUACCAUUUUAACAUUACCAUCAUUAUCAUGUUCAAGCCGGCAGGAAACCAAAUUAAGAGAAGGAUGACAGCAGGGUUCAAGCAGAAAAACCUGUUUCGAAAUCUAAAUCUGCAAGCUUGCCAUUUCACCUUCAGUGGAGCUGUGAUCCUAGCCCACCCCAAGGGGGUUGGCUAUCUGUUGCUGUUGGACUGUGGUCCCCGAAGCUCUUCCAAGUGUUGUAUGUACUUGUAAAUUGAAAAGAGAAGCUGCAGGGAUGCAGCGUUGGUUCCACCCUGGGCGCCUGUUGUCGAUUUGUGGACGGGUGUUCGGCAGGCGGCGGCCGGCGGUGCAGAGCAGACGCCCGGCGCUGCAUUGGUGGUUGUCGUUCGGGACAGGCGGAUGGCGGGACGGUUUUACGUCGCGGCCUAGCGGAGCAAUGACGUUGAUCGGCAGCCGGCGACCGGCGGUGUAGAGUGGGCUGUCGUGCGCGUGAGUAGCGUGGCGGCGGCAGGCCGGUGUGGACGGCGACGGAGGCGUCGGCCGGUGGUGCAGAGGAUGCUGUCGUGCAGUCAAACGUUUGCUGCAGUUAGGCUCUGUUUUUUUCUUCUUUCUUCUGAUCGGUAGUGGGAUAGAGCAGUUCCGCAGUUUAUUUUUUCUUCCUUCUUCUGCUUCUGAUCGGCCAGUCCGACAGGGAGUGUCCGCCCUUGUUUAUAUCGUUGGAUGGAUGAUCUAUGGAUGAGAUCGUUUGGAUCA